GGCCCUUCGGGGUACACGAGCGGCGAACGGGUGAGUAACACGUGGGUAACCUGCCCUGUACUCUGGGAUAAGCCCGGGAAACUGGGUCUAAUACCGGAUAUGACCUUGUAUCGCAUGAUCUGGGGUGGAAAGUUCCGGCGGUACAGGAUGGACCCGCGGCCUAUCAGCUUGUUGGUGGGGUAAUGGCCUACCAAGGCGACGACGGGUAGCCGGCCUGAGAGGGUGACCGGCCACACUGGGACUGAGACACGGCCCAGACUCCUACGGGAGGCAGCAGUGGGGAAUAUUGCACAAUGGGCGAAAGCCUGAUGCAGCGACGCCGCGUGAGGGAUGACGGCCUUCGGGUUGUAAACCUCUUUCAGCAGGGACGAAGCGUGAGUGACGGUACCUGCAGAAGAAGCACCGGCUAACUACGUGCCAGCAGCCGCGGUAAUACGUAGGGUGCGAGCGUUGUCCGGAAUUAUUGGGCGUAAAGAGCUCGUAGGCGGUUUGUCGCGUCGGCCGUGAAAACUUGGGGCUUAACCCCGAGCCUGCGGUCGAUACGGGCAGACUUGAGUUCGGCAGGGGAGACUGGAAUUCCUGGUGUAGCGGUGAAAUGCGCAGAUAUCAGGAGGAACACCGGUGGCGAAGGCGGGUCUCUGGGCCGAUACUGACGCUGAGGAGCGAAAGCGUGGGGAGCGAACAGGAUUAGAUACCCUGGUAGUCCACGCCGUAAACGGUGGGUGCUAGGUGUGGGGGGACUUCCACGUUCUCCGUGCCGCAGCUAACGCAUUAAGCACCCCGCCUGGGGAGUAC
rnacentral:rRNA from 1 species